UGGGGAAUAUUGCACACUGAUCGCAAGCCUGAUGCAGCCAUGCCGCGUGUAUGAAGAAGGCCUUCGGGUUGUAAAGUACUUUCAGCGGGGAGGAAGGCGAUAAGGUUAAUAACCUUGUCGAUUGACGUUACCCGCAGAAGAAGCACCGGCUAACUCCGUGCCAGCAGCCGCGGUAAUACGGAGGGUGCCAGCGUUAAUCGGAAUUACUGGGCGUAAAGCGCACGCAGGCGGUCUGUCAAGUCGGAUGUGAAAUCCCCGGGCUCAACCUGGGAACUGCAUUCGAAACUGGCAGGCUAGAGUCUUGUAGAGGGGGGUAGAAUUCCAGGUGUAGCGGUGAAAUGCGUAGAGAUCUGGAGGAAUACCGGUGGCGAAGGCGGCCCCCUGGACAAAGACUGACGCUCAGGUGCGAAAGCGUGGGGAGCAAACA
rnacentral:rRNA from 1 species